CUACCUGGACGCAUCUGCCUCCUCGGCUCAACCCUGGCCUGUGCCCAGGCCGAGCCAAAUCCCCCCGCCGCCACACCACUUGCCCCCGCCGUCGACCUCAACCCGCCCGCCGCCGCGGCCGCACCUCUGCCCACUCGCCGCCCCCGCCGCAGCGCUCGAGCGCAGCUUCUGGAUCAGGUCAACGCGGCGGCUCGAGUGGCUGGGGACAACGCGUCUGAUCGAUGCAGAACGGUGGCGGCGGGAUCCAGCGGGCGCGGGAGGAGGGAUCCGGCGCGGUGGCGCGAAGCCCUUGCAGGUGGAGGCGAUCCUUCAUGGCUGGUAGGGAGGGGUCCAAGGUCAUGGCAGGGCUUCGGUUUUUCUGGUAGAAAACAGAGAUAGAGGAGGAUCCAGGGAGGAGAAGAAGGAAGGGGAAGAAGGAAGGGUGCGACAGGGGUGAGUGUGCUGCCGCCUGCCGCGCCCAAGGCUUGAUCUACCGCCGCCUCUCCUCUUCCUAUGCUGGCUGCGACACGUCAGAUCUCGAGCCGCUGGCACUUCUCCACUGUCCAUGGGCCAUGGCUGCUCUGAUGCAUCAAAUCCCUCAGCUUCCCGGCGCCUCUCCAUCUCUUCCAGGUUGAUUUACAACGGGGACCGUCCAUAACAAAGGUUGCACAUUGAUCUGCUGUAACAUUGGCUGGGUGUUCUCUCCUCGACUCUACUAACACUCUGGAGUUACAAGCAAUUACAUCAGGAGCUCAAUCAAAAAUCACCUAAGCAAAUAUGUCUCUUCUCUAUAAGGGUUGCAUGUGGAAUUUGAGGAGAAUCUGUGCACCUCAUUGGACUCCUUGAUGUUGCUCUGAUCAUAUUGUGUAAAUAUAUUUCUAAUAAAGCAAUUGCUCGAUGGUGUACAUGUUAGAAAUAACAAGAUGUAAUCAUCAAAUGUGAGAGAUGGCAACAUCAGAUGGGAUGGUAUGUACUGUUGUGAUCGUCAAUAGGUUAGUCUUUCAUUCUGUUGCAGCCAGUAUGUUUUUUGUUAUGGAAAUAAUUACGAAAUAUCUAAUUUCUAUGUACGUCCUAUAUAUAUAUAUAUAUUUGGAUUUGUUAACGGUCACUGCGUCUGGUCUUUCCCGAGCCUCUGAUUGUGAUUCGUGUUCUUUUGCUAUGCACAUUGGAAUUUGGGAAUGUUACCAACGAUUGGAGUUAACACUAUUCAUUCUCUGAAUGGAUGGAACAUUAUGUGUUAUCAAUUGCAGAGACUGACAGCCUUCUCAUAUGAUGUAUAGGUAUCUUACCAGAGAGAAAAUACGAGGAAAAGCUCUAGAUGUUGUUGCUAAUUUUCACUUGCAAAAUGGAGCAGUGAGCUACCCACUGUCACCCCAUUCAGUUUUAACUUUAAAUCUUGAUCCUGAGUAUUGGAUGCGGCUGUUUGGGCUCAGACUUAAGAAAUAAGAUUUUUUUUUCUUUGGUCUUCUACCUGAAAUUAGAAUUCUAAUACUUGUCCCAGAACCACAUUGUAAUUUUGUUUUCUAACAUGUUGUACUGUUGCGUUUCUCUGUAUGAACUUUGGCUUAAUUAUAUUGACUUUCAUGGAGUAUCUAUUUGAAACAAUUCAGUGGACAUUACUAACAGCUGAACACCACUUUUAUUUUAUGGUAGAUGGUUGAGAGAAUAAACUGGAUGACCCACAAAUCCGAGAAGGGCAUUGAACAAAGUGGAGGUUGGACGAUAUAGAAGAAUAUGCAUCGUUUUAUUUGGCUACAGGGAUUAUCCAUACGUCACCUAGCCUCUCCUAACAUGUUGAGGCUAUAGCUCUGUGCUUGGCUGGUAUGAGAUUCUACAUCUUAUGCUAUGACAAUGACCUUUUUCCUCUGUUGUACUUCAGUGUUAUUACCGGUGUUUUCAUUCUAUCUUCAAUAAACUGCCGGCAUAUUAACAUCAUCUUUUUUGCGAACAAUAUUAACAUCAUAUUGACAUAGUUGCAGUGUGAAAUCUCUGGAGUUAGAUCUUAAAUAGUUUGUGCCUUUCUUUUGCCCGGUGCAACGCACGGGCAUUUGUACUAGUAAUAAUAAAGCACGGAUUGACUCCGUGGGUUCACCGUCAUAAUACGCUUUUUCCCGUGAA